UGUAAGCGUAUACCAAAGUUGUUGCAGUUAAAACGCUCGUAGUCGAAUUUUGGUGUGAGUUAUGGAGACUCCUACUGGAUGUUGAAGUAACUUCGCCUUUGUGGAGGGGGGCGUGGUGGUACUUUAUUGUAUUGCUGCAUUUCCGCCACUGUUUACUGUGAAAAAAUUAGAGUGUUCAAAGCGAGCGUUUGCCAUGAAUACAUUAGCAUGGAAUAAUAGAAUAGGACCUGGUUCUGUUUUAUUGGUUUGUCUGUAUCAGGUAAUGAUUAACAGGGACGGUCGGGGGUAUUUGUAUUCCAGCGUUAGAGGUGAAAUUCUUGGAUCGCUGGAAGACAGACAGCUGCGAAAGCGUCUACCAAGGACGUUUUCAUUGA
rnacentral:rRNA from 1 species